UUGAGAAUUCCAGGUUUCCCUGUCCUUUAUCCCGCUGGGAUUGAGAAUUCCAGGUUUUCCCUGCUCCUUUAUCCCACUGGGAUUGAGAAUUCCAGGUUUCCCUGUCCUUUAUCCCACUGGAACUGAGGAAUUCCAGGUUUUCCUGCCCAACUGGGAUUGAGAAUUCCAGCUUUUUUCCUGUCCUUUAUCCCUCUGGGAUUGAGAAUUCCAGGUUUUCCCUGCUCCUUUAUCCUGCUGGAACUGAGGAAUUCCAGCUUUUUCCUGCCCAACUGGGAUUGAGAAUUCCAGCUUUUUUCUGUCCUUUAUCCCACUGGGAUUGAGAAUUCCAGGUUUUCCCUGUCCUUUAUCCCACUGGAACUGAGGAAUUCCAGCUUUUCCUGCCAACUGGGAUUGAGAAUUCCAGGUUUUCCCUGUCCUUUAUCCUGCUGGAACUGAGGAAUUCCAGCUUUUCCUGCCCACUGGAAUUCAGCAAUUCCAGCUUUCCCUGCCCAUUUUCCCUCUGGAAUUCAGCAAUUCCAGCUCUCCCCGUGGAUCCCAGAACUUCCCAGGUAAAAUUCCCCCCUUUUUUUUUUAUCCCGUGCUGGAUUUUUCCAACCUCAAUUCCCACAAAAUCCCUGCGGGGGAGAG